AAAAAUUAUAUCUCAGGGAGCAGAAUUUUGCUGAAGAAUGAAGUCACUACAGAAGACCUAAGAGAUUCUGUCUCAAGCUGGUCCCUUUAUAAAAUCCUGCUCCUGGUCUUAUCUCUAUAAAGGAUUUUCCAGGUGAUAUGAACUAAAUCCUGUAAAGUCCUAGCUGACCUACAUAUUUACUUUUCUGUGUCUCCACACACUCCAUCACCUACUCAGACCUUCAAUUCCCAUUUUUGGUUACCAUCUCCUGGGCAUCCUAGGCCAAUUUCUUUAAUUGGCCCCAGGUCAGGUCUAGCCCUAUCCUUGUCUAUCAGCUCUGGUGUGGUCUCCAAGGCAUCACUGCUACAGGAUUGACCAUCAGUUUCUUCAAGCGUGGAACAAAUUCCUUCUCCAGAUCUAGGUCCAUAACACAGCCAGACAGCAUGCUAUGGCAUCCAGGCAUAGAUCAUGGAGACACUCCCUUAUCCAGGUCCACAACAAAAAGUAAAAUUAUAUGCUUUAACAAGCCAAGUCAUCAAUGGGAGGUGCAGUUCUAUGCUGGAGCAAAGCUUUUCUACCAAGAAGUAUCAGCCACAGAAGCAGGCACAAUGAGAAACUUCAUCGAACUAUCACACCCAGAUAUCUCUACCUCAUGGAGAUUUCUUAGGAAAUUUAUUGGUGUGAAUUACUUAACUGUGGCUUGAUGAGAGGGUAAAGUACUCGAGAACACUGAGAUCACAUAAUUUUGAGUUGUCACUGUCUUGGUUACUUUUCUCUCGUUGCUGGGACAAAAUGCCUGAUCCCCAAAAUUAAGGAAGGAAAAGUUUAUUUCACUUACAGUUUGUGGAGGUUAUAGUCCAUACUUGGCAGGUUACAAGGCAGACUGGCACAUGGCAGAGGGCUACAGCUCAUGGCGGCAGAACACAGCAAAAGCAACAACCACUAAAAGGGAGGAAUGGCCCCAAGCAGCCUCUUUCUUUCCCUUACAUAUACAAACUAUCCACCCCAGGGUAGGUGUAGCUCUCACACCCAUGAUCAGUCAAAUUCUAAAAGCCUGCCCCAUGACCGCACGGGCUUUGGGGGGGACACCCAGACACAAACCAUAACAAUUGCUUAAAUCAAGCCAAAGCCAUGUGGCUCCGCUCAGGGUCCAGCCUCAAAGCCUGUUUUAAGAUGUUCAGAUGAGCUGGAUCUCAUCCUCAGUUUAUCCCAUUUCACAUUUUACUCUCCUUGCACCAGCUAAUCUUAUACACAGCAGGGGAAGGGGAAUUAGCAGUGCUGAUAUUACUAUUUGAGGGAUAAGAAGACAUCUGUUUUAGAAUCUCAGAGGUAAACAGUUG
rnacentral:lncRNA from 1 species